CUCAAUCUGAUCUUGGUAUAAAGGAUCUCUGUUCGCGGGAUCGAGGCUAUGGGAUUACUUUAUGGUCACAUUCAGGGUUAUAUAGCAGAGUGACGUCAGCAAAUUGUCGAGGUUCAGCAAACUGUCGUUCAGCACCUUGUGGACCUUUAAGCGAGUUGGCGUUUUAAGAAUUUGUCAGUUAUUCAGAAGCGCCUGGUCGCUGGAAAACGGUCGACGCAGCCGAAUCCACCGUUUUGUCAUGCACCAGCGAUCGACAGAAGAAGGAUCUGCGAAAACAGUAAGAUCGGAUGAUCUUCCUCGGAUCCUUCGCAGGCUGCACCAGAUGGAAAUUAACCACACUUUCCGCCCAGACCGCCGCGCUCCUGUCCCCGAUGGUGUCCCGGUGUGAUCGCUCGAUGUGGAACUGCUGGAUAAUAACUAGGAUCAUUAUGGUGUGUCAUGUGAGAAACAUGAUGUGAUCAUCUUGUAAUCACCGGUACACGAUCUAGACUAUAGGUCUAUGACCGACGCUUAUGCGACCCGGAAUACCCGCU